CCUACGGGAGGCAGCAGUAAGGAAUUUUAGACAAUGGGCGAAAGCCUGAUCUAGCAACGCCGCGUGGACGAUGAAGGCCUUCGGGUCGUAAAGUCCUUUUCUGUGGGACGAUAAUGACGGUACCACAGGAAUAAGCCACGGCUAACUACGUGCCAGCAGCCGCGGUAAUACGUAGGUGGCUAGCGUUAUCCGGAUUCACUGGGCGUAAAGAGCGCGUAGGCGGUGUGCUAAGUUGGACGUGAAAGCCCCCGGCUUAACCGGGGGAGGUCGUCCAAUACUGGUGCACUUGAGGGUGGACGGGGAAAGCGAAAUUCCCGGUGUAGUGGUGAAAUGCGUAGAUAUCGGGAGGAACCCCAGUGGCGAAGGCGGCUUUCUGGACCGAUACUGACACUGAGACGCGAAAGCGUGGGGAGCAAACAGGAUUAGAUCCCCCUGUAGU
rnacentral:rRNA from 1 species